rnacentral:rRNA from 1 species
UGGCGGACGGGUGAGUAACGCGUGGAAAACCUGCCGUAUACUGGGGGAUAACACUUAGAAAUAGGUGCUAAUACCGCAUAAGCGCACAGCUUCGCAUGAAGUGGUGUGAAAAACUCCGGUGGUGUAAGAUGGACCCGCGUCUGAUUAGCUUGUUGGCGGGGUAGGGGCCCACCAAGGCGACGAUCAGUAGCCGGCCUGAGAGGGUGGACGGCCACAUUGGGACUGAGACACGGACCAGACUCCUACGGAAGGCAGCAG